GCACGGUUUUAUUUAUUUCCGCUGGAAGAGCAUGGGCCUCUUAAUCCUAGGGUUGUGGGUUCGAGCCCCACAUUGGGCA